AAAACUUUAAAGAGAGAAGUUGAAAAUUAGCAAUGCAUCACCAAAAAAAUCCAAUAAUGUAGUACAGUGAAUAAAAGUCAUGUAUCAACUGUCUUUACAACAUGGCUAGUUAAACAUUUUGUAAUUAAAUUAAAACAACAAAAUAGAAAACAAGCAGAUUGAGAUGUCCUUCGACGAUGCUUGAUGACGUGGCAGCCGAGACAUGCAGCCUUCUAGGACGGAGCCUUAUUUAAAAAAAUAAUAAUAAUAAGGACGGAGCCUUAUUUAUUUUUAUUUUAUAUAUGUAUAAUGUCCCCCUUUGUAUUUCUUAUUAUUUAAAAAAAAUAUUAAAAAUAAUUUUAAAAGGACGCAGCUGUGCGUUUGAGAAACGACCGGAAACGACUUAUAUGUCGCGAGGCCAUCACGUGACCACAAUAUUUACCAGAAGACCGUUAUUUGCUCGAGUACCCUCAACUUUUUUGUCGCAAAUAACAUUAUUAAUAACCUGUAAAUAAUAAAUUUUGUACACAUUACGUUCCUCUUCACUUUGUAAUAGUAUGUUUUUUGGUUUAAUAGUCGGCUUUAAGUUAGUUUUUCUGUCAGUUUGAUCGUCAAAAUCUUGAAAGUUAUCUGCAGCCACACAUCCACUGUAUUCCAAGUUAUGAUGAACAAUUAUGAAAAUGCAAAAGGAUUGAUAGAUCAGUAAACAAGCAACAAAAAGAUGGGUGCUCAUGGUGGCCUCCAAAUAAAUACAUGGACAGGCUGCUAAAGAGGGUCAGGAUGAUGGAGAUGCAAGAGCCAAAGACAGCACAGACCAAACACCAGGCCAGAAUUCUGCAUGAGUCAGCUGUAAAAAAAAAAAAAGAAUGAAACAGUACCUGCAUUUAAGUUUCCAGCCUUUUUCACAAAGUUGCCGACAACUGGAAGAAUGUCCCAAAUUGCUGCAAAAAGAAAUUCAAUUGAGUAAUUUUCACUCUAGAGACCCUUGGGUGACCACCAAGGACGAAUGCAAACUCCAGUGAGUGUCUCUAAGGUAGAUCCUAAUGCAGAUGGAUGGAAUGUUGAUCCGCCUAACAUGCAAGAUUUUCUGUACCGAGAACUUUGGAUGACCACGUUUUCAAAAAUCUGACCUCAAUUUUAGUAACCAUUUAGAUAUUUUAGAUGUAGUCCGAGAGCUUGCUGACCCUCCAUUAAAAAUGUAUGUACGGUAUACUGUUCAUGUCCAGAAAGGUAAUAAAAACAUCAUCAAAAUAGUUCUUGUGACAUCAGUGGGUCAGUUAGAAUUUGUUGAAGCGGCAAAAAUACAUUUAGGUCCAAAAAUUACGACUUUAUUCGGCAUUGUCUUCUCUUCCGGGUCUGUUGUGAACCGUGUGCAUGACACUGCUUCCGUACGAUGCUGUUGGCUUGUUAUCUGGUGCACCCAAGCUUUUUUUUCCGUUUACAGUCUGAGAGAGACGCUGUAAACAAAACAAUCUUCGCAAACAUGUCUGAGGAUAACACGUCAGCAGCGUCGUACGUCAGCAGCGCCACUGUGCACGCGCAUUCGCAACAGGCCCGGAAGAGAAGACAAUGCUGAAUAAAUCGUUAUUUUUGGACCAAAAUGUAUUUAUGAUGCUUCAACUAAUUCUAACUGACCCACUGAUGUCACAUGGACUACUUUGAUGAUGUUUUAAUUAACUUUCUGGAAAUGAGACAGUAUACAGCACAUACAUUUUUUGGAGGGUCAGAAAGCUCUCGGACUAAAUCUAAAACAUCUUAAACUGUGUUCCAAAGAUGAACGGAGGUCUUACAAGUUUGGAACAACAUGAGGGUGUGUCAUUAAUUACAUUAUUUUCAUUUUUGGGUGAACUAUCCCUUUAAAUGGAAAACACCACAGCUUUCCAAAAUGUUACUAUGUUUUUACCUUAGACGAAUUAAUACAUCCCUAUCUUUUUUCAAUACGUGCACUUAAUCUUUGUACAGUGCAUUGUGAAUGUGUUAGCAUUUAGCCUAGCCCCAUUCAUUCCUUAGGAUCCAAACAGGGAUGAAUUUAGAAGCCACCUGACCCAACCCUUUCAUGUUUUCCUUAUUUAAAGACUGUUACAUGAGUAGUUACACGAGUAAGUAUGGUGGCACAAAAUAAAACGUGGCGAUUUUUUUAAGCGGAUAAAAAUGAGAACUAUAUUGUAUGGCAAAAGAGCACUAAGUUUGCAGCACUUCGACCUCGGCGUGCAGUAACAUCAUCACUCCUGAUUACUCCACCUCUCGCUCAAACUCAAAAGGGGGGGAGUAGUCAGGAGUGAUGAUGUUACUGCGCGCCGAGGAAUGAAUGGGGCUAGGCUAAAUGCUAACACAUUCACGACGUGCUGUACAAAUAUUAAGUGCAUGCAUUGAUGAAAGAUAGGGAUGUAUUAAUUGAUCUAAGUUGAGGUAAGAACAUAGUAAAAUAUUGAAAAACUGUGGUGUUUUUCUUUAAAAGCAGCACCCCUAUUUAUUUUGGGUGCUAAAAAUAUUUGCCACAGACAGUUAAGGCCUUAUGCUGCAUUUAUUAGAAGGCGUUCCCAAUUCUGGUUGUCCUAGUAAAUACUAUAAACAAACGAGUAACAAUCCUCUCAGUAAAUGACAAAAGACGGAUGACAUGAACUUCACUGCUUCACUCUCAUUGGUAGUUGCUCCCAAAAGUCCUUCAUCAAGUUGAACUUUACUCAAAGUUGUGGCAUAGCUGGACAUGCUCACUUCCUGUUGUCAAUGGUCACAGUUGCUCAUGUUGCUUAAUGGGGCAAAGCUUUCAUUGGAAUGAACGAGAUUGUGUUGCUAGUCGCUGGCGGUGUAAAAGCAGCAUUAGUGUGUGUGUCUUUAAAAAUAUAUCAAAUGCAAAUUACCUGAUCUAACAUUCCCAGCUACAGAGGGCAUCCUUUAUUCAGUCCCUAAUGCAGAUGGUUGGAGUGUUGAUCUACCUAACAUGAGGGGUAAAAGAGCGUUUGUUAGCAUAAUGAGAAAGAAAACAGAAACACAUUAUUAGUGGCAUUUAAAAACAUAACACUUGUUUAUACUACAUUUUAUGUUCAAUCCAUAGAGCACUCGUUUUGAGUCCUGAGACCCUGGGGUGACCACCGUGAACAAAUACAGAAGCACUCAAUUUGAGUCCUGAGACCCUGGGGUGACCACCGUGAACAAAUACAGACUGCAAUAGCAGUCUUGACGGUACUAGGAUGAAUGCAAAUAAAGACUAACCACCUGACAUCAGCUGUCCAGUCUCUUGUGGGAAGCAGGUGCUUGUUACCCCAAAUACGGAUGAAGAGUGACGAAGAGGAUGAUGACUUU